GUCCAUACCAUGAGAAUAUGUGAUUUUGGCCAUAAGUUCAAAAUCUAACAGUAUUGAGAACCUGAAGUUCCAACAAUUAAAUGGACAACCCUUGAGGUAUUAUUGCAAAUUGUGGUACGCCACAUAUCUCUUUGGCAUAAGAGAAUGAUGAAUUGAGGCUCCCCACAUAUUUUGUUAUAUCUGGGCCGGAAGCUCAUGAACCCAAAUAUAUGAGAUAUUAGCGUGGCUUUUACUCAAUUCAUAUUUCAUGUCCAUUUUGAAAAGGGCAAAUAAAUUCUGAGUUUGUGUUUAGCCCAGGCCAAAAGUUCCGGGCUCUCAUACGUUGAAAUAUGAAAUUUGGGAGAGUCGAUGUGGUUAUUUGAACCUAUAAGGCACAAGGUUCCAAACCGUCAUUUUGAAAAGACGUAAAAACCACAGGUGCAAAUUUUAAGAAUGUGCGCAAUUAUUAUAACAGGAAAGGAGCAAGUUGAAACGCAGUUGCUCCAAUCAAGUUUUGCAAAGGCAAUAUCUAUAGGAGGAAAUAU
rnacentral:lncRNA from 1 species